rnacentral:misc_RNA from 1 species
AACGCACCUUGCACCCUUUGGUAUUCCGAGGGGUAUGCCUGUUUGAGUGUCAUUAAAUUCUCAAACUCAAUGUGGUUUUUAUUAAUCGUGUUGAGGAUUGGAUGUGGAGGUUGCAGGCUCUAACGAGUCGGCUCUUCUUAAAUGCAUUAGUGGCUUGUCGAUCCCCAUUUUUCGGUGUGAUAGUAAUAUCUACAUCAUGAUAAAUGGCUAGGUCAUGCGAUGACAAUAUUUAGCUGCUCUCUAAUAGUCUUUAUGACAAUUUGAACCAUUUGACCUCAAAUCAGGUAGGACUACCCGCUGAACUUAA